rnacentral:rRNA from 1 species
AAAGCGAUUUGAUAAGGUUAAACGAUUGACGGAGCGAAGCGACGUCAAAGCGUUCCAUUACGUUGAGUCGGUUUAAGGAUACGUUCGUUGGGUAGGGGAGCGUUCUGUAAGCCGUUGAAGGUGUGCUGUGAGGCAUGCUGGAGGUAUCAGAAGUGCGAAUGCUGACAUAAGUAACGAUAAAGCGGGUGAAAAGCCCGCUCGCCGGAAGACCAAGGGUUCCUGUCCAACGUUAAUCGGGGCAGGGUGAGUCGACCCCUAAGGCGAGGCCGAAAGGCGUAGUCGAUGGGAAACAGGUUAAUAUUCCUGUACUUGGUGUUACUGCGAAGGGGGGACGGAGAAGGCUAUGUUAGCCGGGCGACGGUUGUCCCGGUUUAAGCAUGUAGGCGGAGGUUCCAGGUAAAUCCGGUACCUUUUAACGCUGAGGUGUGAUGACGAGGCACUACGGUGCUGAAGUAACAAAUGCCCUGCUUCCAGGAAAAGCCUCUAAGCAUCAGGUAACACGAAAUCGUACCCCAAACCGACACAGGUGGUCAGGUAGAGAAUACCAAGGCGCUUGAGAGAACUCGGGUGAAGGAACUAGGCAAAAUGGUGCCGUAACUUCGGGAGAAGGCACGCUGACAUGUAGGUGAAGCCCCUGCGGGUGGAGCUGAAGUCAGUCGAAGAUACCAGCUGGCUGCAACUGUUUAUUAAAAACACAGCACUGUGCAAACACGAAAGUGGACGUAUACGGUGUGACGCCUGCCCGGUGCCGGAA